UGGGUGUACACUGAUGUGAAUCAUAGGACGUAGGAGACAUAUGAAACAGGAUGUCAUAUGAAACAGGAGGACAUAUAAACACUGCAAAAGCAAAGUACUUUUUUUCAGAAGGGCAUUUGAGAAAGAUUUUUAUAUACUAUUUUUGAGACCUAAAAUCAUGAUGUGGCUGUUCCGUUUGGCUCUCUGCUUGAUCUCAGUGAUGUUUGAAGAUGGCGUCACAGCAACUAACACACCAGAACAUUGUUCAACUGUCUGCCCUUGGGACAAUAAAUAUCACUGCAAAGAGAAGUCAGAAGACUUGAAAAUUCACAAAACAGUUUAUCCUUGCCCUCCUGGGAUAUGUUUUGUGAGAGGAAGAGAUGGUAUCUUCAGAAGCUCAACAGAUAAGGGCUGCAAUGAAUGCUGCUGGUCAUAUGAAGUAAAUGGAACGAUGUUAGAAUGUACGAGUAAGGUUCAUCCCACUUGCUGGUCCAAUGAGACACGUGUCCAUGGUGAAUAUGCUUACUCCCUCACCCUUUUCAUUUCUUCUUGUACUCAGUGGUUAAAUUAGUCUAAUAUGUUUAUAAUAUUGGAUUCUAUGGCUUUUGUCUACAGCAGUAAUCGCUGCAAGUUUGUAGCUAGCACUAGAAGGAGGUCCCAGUAAACAUCUUAGUUG